UUAAAAAUAAGCUAAAUUAAGCUUUUGGGUUCAUAACCCAAAUAUAAAAAAUAAUUCUUUUUUUUGAA
rnacentral:tRNA from 1 species